rnacentral:rRNA from 1 species
CACGUAGGGGCCAAGCGUUGUCCGGAUUUAUUGGGCGUAAAGAGCUCGUAGGCGGCUCGGUAAGUCGGGUGUGAAACCUCCAGGCUCAACCUGGAGACGCCACCCGAUACUGCUGUGGCUAGAGUCCGGUAGGGGAGCGUGGAAUUCCUGGUGUAGCGGUGAAAUGCGCAGAUAUCAGGAGGAACACCGGUGGCGAAGGCGGGUCUCUGGGCCGAUACUGACGCUGAGGAGCGAAAGCGUGGGGAGCAAACAGG